AGCCCGAUGAGAGGCGAUGCCAGGCAGGCGACGGUCUGAGAGGAGGACUGAGGCGCGAGUGCAGCUGUGGUGGUGGGUUUUGCUGUUGCUGUUAUUACUAAUGGGCUUAUUCCUCUUGCCUCCCUCCUCCUCCCCCCGCGGGCACCAGCGGUCGGCCGGCGGCGGGGGGGUCCUUGGCUGCCGAUGGCGGGGAGCGGAGCGAGCGCCGGCCGCGCAGGGAGUACGGCGGGAGCGAGCGCGGCUCCGCCGCCGCGUGUGCGCGCGUGUGCGUGUGCCAGCUCCGUGGGGCCGGCGCGUGUGCGCGCCCCCGCGCGCGCCCCUUCCCCGCCCGCUGGUGGCGGCGCGCCUCGCUCCGCGCCUGUGUGUGCGCGUGUGAGUGUGCGUGUGCCCGGCACCCAGCACGUCCCGGCUCGCCGCGCCUGGGAGGUUCUCCUGGCUUCGGUUCCCAGCGCUGCGCCCCGGCGAAGUACAGGAGGGAAAAGCUCCAUGCUUUCAGUGAAAAUGCAUUAUAGAAGUCCAUGGACACCAGCUGCGUGGUCUCCAGACGAACUUGCAGUUGCAAGAUGAGGUCAAAAAUGUCUAGUAACCUCUGGUACAAGCAUCCUUUGUGACUUAAAAUCAAUGAAGUACUGGAAAUAACAAAAAUGUCCCUUGCCUCAAUCCCUUUCUAUCAGGUACUGAAGAUUUAAUACAGACUUAUGGGGAAAUAAAACCAGACGUUGUAAAGUUUGAAUAGUGAAAAAGAAACAUCACACAAACAGGGCACCAGAAUGGAUUUGUUCCAAGUAUUUUGCCCAGACUUCAAGGAUCAUGGAUGUACCCAGGUGGGCUGGCCAGGAUUUCUUAUUGUGGCUGUAGAGGGUGAGAGACACUGUCUUUUGAGUCGGUAUCAUGCUUCCUAGCUUCUUCCUAUGUUAGUUUCCAUGAUGGCUUUGGAUGUACUUUUUAUGUCUCUUUGGAACUGACCUCAAUCAGUAUUUUUUGUUGUUGUUUCCAUGUUGUUUUUGUUGUUGUUGUUGUUUGCUAUUUGCUGUUUUUAUGUUUUGUUUGUUUGUUUCUCCCUGUCCUUUCUUGCCUCUAAGAAACUUACAUUUAUUCACUUUCAUUUGUCUCUGUACCUAUGUGUCUUCAGUUCUGUCCAGGGUGUGGGUUAUCCUUAGUUGUAUUGAUCAGAUUGUUCUGAAUAACUGCAUGAAACAGUGAUAUUCUAGAUGUAUCUCGGUGCCAUACACACUAUUUUUAUGUCCCUCUUCUGCUGCUUCUACUCCUGUUUCCACAACCAGGGAUUCCUAUUGAUUCUCCAAUCUGAUUUCUAUUUCAGUUCUCUGCUACAUGAGUCAACACAGUGGGCUUUAGUACUUGCACUGUAUGGCCCAGAUGGAUUUUUAAAGCUCUGUUGGUAGGCAAUAGAAACAGCCACUCUUCACUGUAAAUGUGAAAGUCCCAAUCAUUUUUUUUUUAGUUGGACCAGCAGAAGUUGUAAGUGAGAGUUACUGUGCAAAUCAGGAAAUUUUUGUAGGCAAAUAUCUAGGAUA